CCUACGGGAGGCAGCAGUAGGGAAUCUUGCGCAAUGGGCGAAAGCCUGACGCAGCCAUGCCGCGUGAAUGAUGAAGGUCUUAGGAUUGUAAAAUUCUUUCACCGGGGACGAUAAUGACGGUACCCGGAGAAGAAGCCCCGGCUAACUUCGUGCCAGCAGCCGCGGUAAUACGAAGGGGGCUAGCGUUGCUCGGAAUUACUGGGCGUAAAGGGAGCGUAGGCGGAUAGUUUAGUCAGAGGUGAAAGCCCAGGGCUCAACCUUGGAAUUGCCUUUGAUACUGGCUAUCUUGAGUAUGGAAGAGGUAUGUGGAACUCCGAGUGUAGAGGUGAAAUUCGUAGAUAUUCGGAAGAACACCAGUGGCGAAGGCGACAUACUGGUCCAUUACUGACGCUGAGGCUCGAAAGCGUGGGGAGCAAACAGGAUUAGAUACCCUGGUAGUCCACGCCGUAAACGAUGAGUGCUAGUUGUCGGCAUGCAUGCAUGUCGGUGCGCGAGACUACGACAUAAGACACUCCGCCGUCGGGGUAGGUACGGUCGCGAAGAAUUAAACUAACGAAAGAAGUAGACGGCGUGAGACGUGCCGACGGACGACCGACGAGGGAGGUUAGG
rnacentral:rRNA from 1 species